GACGAACGCUGGCGGCGUGCUUAACACAUGCAAGUCGAACGGAAAGGCCCUGCUUUUGUGGGGUGCUCGAGUGGCGAAUGGGUGAGUAACACGUGAGUAACCUGCCCUUGACUUUGGGAUAACUUCAGGAAACUGGGGCUAAUACCGGAUAGGAGCUCCUGCUGCAUGGUGGGGGUUGGAAAGUUUCGGCGGUUGGGGAUGGACUCGCGGCUUAUCAGCUUGUUGGUGGGGUAGUGGCUUACCAAGGCUUUGACGGGUAGCCGGCCUGAGAGGGUGACCGGGCAAAUUGGGACUGAGAGACGGACCAGAAUCCUACGGGAGGCAGCAGUGGGGAAUAUUGCACAAUGGGAGGAAGCCUGAUGCAGAAACGCCGCGUGCGGGAUGACGGCCUUCGGGUUGUAAACCGCUUUCGCCUGUGACGAAGAGUGAGUGACGGUAAUGGGUAAAGAAGCACCGGCUAACUACGUG
rnacentral:rRNA from 1 species